GAUGAACGCUGGCGGCGUGCCUAAUACAUGCAAGUCGAGCGAACGGACGAGAAGCUUGCUUCUCUGAUGUUAGCGGCGGACGGGUGAGUAACACGUGGAUAACCUACCUAUAAGACUGGGAUAACUUCGGGAAACCGGAGCUAAUACCGGAUAAUAUUUUGAACCGCAUGGUUCAAUAGUGAAAGACGGUCUUGCUGUCACUUAUAGAUGGAUCCGCGCUGCAUUAGCUAGUUGGUAAGGUAACGGCUUACCAAGGCAACGAUGCAUAGCCGACCUGAGAGGGUGAUCGGCCACACUGGAACUGAGACACGGUCCAGACUCCUACGGGAGGCAGCAGUAGGGAAUCUUCCGCAAUGGGCGAAAGCUUGACGGAGCAACGCCGCGUGAGUGAUGAAGGACUUCGGAUCGUAAAACUCUGUUAUUAGGGAAGAACAUAUGUGUAAGUAACUGUGCCCAUCUUGACGGUACCUAAUCAGAAAGCCACGGCUAACUACGUG
rnacentral:rRNA from 1 species